rnacentral:rRNA from 1 species
UACGGAGGGUGCAAACGUUGCUCGGAAUCAUUGGGCGUAAAGCGCACGUAGGCGGCCUGAUAAGUCGGGUGUGAAAGCCCUGGGCUCAACCCAGGAAGUGCACUCGAAACUGUCAGGCUUGAAUAUGGAAGAGGGUCGCGGAAUUCCCGGUGUAGAGGUGAAAUUCGUAGAUAUCGGGAGGAACACCAGUGGCGAAGGCGGCGACCUGGUCCUUGACUGACGCUGAGGCGCGAAAGCGUGGGGAGCAAACAGG